GCAGCCGCCGCGGUAAUACGUAGGUCCCGAGCAUUGUCCGGAUUUAUUGGGCGUAAAGCGAGCGCAGGCGGUUAGAUAAGUCUGAAGUUAAAGGCAUUGGCUCAACCAAUGUAUGCUUUGGAAACUGUUAGACUUGAGUGCAGAAGGGGAGAGUGGAAUUCCAUGUGUAGCGGUGAAAUGCGUAGAUAUAUGGAGGAACACCGGUGGCGAAAGCGGCUCUCUGGUCUGUCACUGACGCUGAGGCUCGAAAGCGUGGGUAGCGAACAGGAUUAGAUACCCGAGUAGUCCCCUGUCUCUUAUAU
rnacentral:rRNA from 1 species